UAAUACAUGCAAGUCGAACGGUAACAUGGCAGCAAUGCUGAUGACGAGUGGCGCACGGGUGCGUAACACGUAUGCCACCUACCCUUUACUAAGGUAUAGCCCGGAAAAAUUCGGAUUACUCCCUUAUGACACUGUGAUAUGGCAUCAUAUUACAUUUAAAUAUUUAUAGGUAAAGGAUGGGCAUGCGGCCAAUUAGUUAGUUGGUGAGGUAACGGCUCACCAAAACGAUGAUUGGUAGGGGUUCUGAGAGGAACGCCCCCCACACUGGUACUGAGAUACGGACCACACUCCUACGGGAGGCAGCAGUAGGGAAUAUUGGGCAAUGGACGAAAGUCUGACCCAGCCAUGCCGCGUGCAGGAUGAAGGCUUUCUGAGUUGUAAACUGCUUUUGAUCGAAAACAAAAGGCCCAUGCGUGGGAAAUUGAGUGUACCGAUAGAAUAAGCACCGGCUAACUCCGUGCCAGCAGCCGCGGUAAUACGGAGGGUGCAAGCGUUGUCCGGAUUUAUUGUGUUUAAAGGGUGCGUACGCGGCCUUAUAAGUCAGUGGUGAAAUACUUCGGCUCAACCGAAGAGGUGCCAUUGAUACUGUAGGGCUUGAGUACAGACGAGGUAGGCAGUAUUUAUAGUGUAGCGGUGAGAUGCAUACAUACCAUAAAGAACACUGAUUGCGA
rnacentral:rRNA from 1 species